rnacentral:rRNA from 1 species
AUCAAGGUAUAAUGAUUAAUUGGAGUUCUAGUUCAUUUACUUUGAGAAAAUUAGAGUGUUUAAAAGCAGCCUCUUGGGGCACUGAAUACAUUAGCAUGGGAUAAUAAAAUAGGAUCUUCACAAUAUAUUUUAUUGGUUUAAAUUGGAUAUGAAGAUAAUGAUUAAUAGGGACAGUUGGGGUAUUCAUAUUGGGUGGUUAGCGGUGAAAUGCUCGGAUCCAUUCAAGAUGAACUAAAGCGAAAGCAUUUACCAAGGAUGUUUUCAUUAAUCAAGAACGAAAGUUAAGGGAUCGAAGACGAUUAGAUACCGUCGUAGUCUUAACUAUAAACUAUGCCGACCAGGGAUAUGAGUUGUUAGGAUUAUAUGAAAGUAUAAUCAAUUUCUUCUUAUGAACCUUGUGAGAAAUCAUAAGUUUUUGGGUUCUGGG